CGGCAGCCGCGGUAAUACAGAGGGUGCGAGCGUUAAUCGGAUUUACUGGGCGUAAAGCGUGCGUAGGCGGCUUUUUAAGUCGGAUGUGAAAUCCCUGAGCUUAACUUAGGAAUUGCAUUCGAUACUGGGAAGCUAGAGUAUGGGAGAGGAUGGUAGAAUUCCAGGUGUAGCGGUGAAAUGCGUAGAGAUCUGGAGGAAUACCGAUGGCGAAGGCAGCCAUCUGGCCUAAUACUGACGCUGAGGUACGAAAGCAUGGGGAGCAAACAGGAUUAGAUACCCCCGUAGUCCCUGUCUCUUAUAC
rnacentral:rRNA from 1 species